rnacentral:rRNA from 1 species
GUUAUCACGGGAGACACACGGCGGGUGCUAAUGUCCGUCGUGAAGAGGGAAACAACCCAGACCGCCAGCUAAGGUCCCAAAGUCAUGGUUAAGUGGGAAACGAUGUGGGAAGGCCCAGACAGCCAGGAUGUUGGCUUAGAAGCAGCCAUCAUUUAAAGAAAGCGUAAUAGCUCACUGGUCGAGUCGGCCUGCGCGGAAGAUGUAACGGGGCUAAACCAUGCACCGAAGCUGCGGCAGCGACACCGUGUGUUGUUGGGUAGGGGAGCGUUCUGUAAGCCUGUGAAGGUGUGCUGUGAGGCAUGCUGGAGGUAUCAGAAGUGCGAAUGCUGACAUAAGUAACGAUAAAGCGGGUGAAAAGCCCGCUCGCCGGAAGACCAAGGGUUCCUGUCCAACGUUAAUCGGGGCAGGGUGAGUCGACCCCUAAGGCGAGGCCGAAAGGCGUAGUCGAUGGGAAACGGGUUAAUAUUCCCGUACUUGGUGUUACUGCGAAGGGGGGACGGAGAAGGCUAUGUUGGCCGGGCGACGGUUGUCCCGGUUUAAGCGUGUAGGUAUGUGUUCCAGGUAAAUCCGGUUCACUUUAACACUGAGGCGUGACGACGAGGCACUACGGUGCUGAAGCAACAAAUGCCCUGCUUCCAGGAAAAGCCUCUAAGCAUCAGGUAACAUCAAAUCGUACCCCAAACCGACACAGGUGGUCAGGUAGAGAAUACCAAGGCGCUUGAGAGAACUCGGGUGAAGGAACUAGGCAAAAUGGUGCCGUAACUUCGGGAGAAGGCACGCUGACACGUAGGUGAAGUGAUUUACUCACGGAGCUGAAGUCAGCCGAAGAUACCAGCUGGCUGCAACUGUUUAUUAAAAACACAGCACUGUGCAAACACGAAAGUGGACGUAUACGGUGUGACGCCUGCCCGGUGCCGGAAGGUUAAUUGAUGGGGUCAGCGCAAGCGAAGCUCCUGAUCGAAGCCCCGGUAAACGGCGGCCGUAACUAUAACGGUCCUAAGGUAGCGAAAUUCCUUGUCGGGUAAGUUCCGACCUGCACGAAUGGCGUAAUGAUGGCCAGGCUGUCUCCACCCGAGACUCAGUGAAAUUGAACUCGCUGUGAAGAUGCAGUGUACCCGCGGCAAGACGGAAAGACCCCGUGAACCUUUACUAUAGCUUGACACUGAACAUUGAGCCUUGAUGUGUAGGAUAGGUGGGAGGCUUUGAAGUGUGGACGCCAGUCUGCAUGGAGCCGACCUUGAAAUACCACCCUUUAAUGUUUGAUGUUCUAACGUGGACCCGUGAUCCGGGUUGCGGACAGUGUCUGGUGGGUAGUUUGACUGGGGCGGUCUCCUCCUAAAGAGUAACGGAGGAGCACGAAGGUUGGCUAAUCCUGGUCGGACAUCAGGAGGUUAGUGCAAUGGCAUAAGCCAGCUUGACUGCGAGCGUGACGGCGCGAGCAGGUGCGAAAGCAGGUCAUAGUGAUCCGGUGGUUCUGAAUGGAAGGGCCAUCGCUCAACGGAUAAAAGGUACUCCGGGGAUAACAGGCUGAUACCGCCCAAGAGUUCAUAUCGACGGCGGUGUUUGGCACCUCGAUGUCGGCUCAUCACAUCCUGGGGCUGAAGUAGGUCCCAAGGGUAUGGCUGUUCGCCAUUUAAAGUGGUACGCGAGCUGGGUUUAGAACGUCGUGAGACAGUUCGGUCCCUAUCUGCCGUGGGCGCUGGAGAACUGAGGGGGGCUGCUCCUAGUACGAGAGGACCGGAGUGGACGCAUCACUGGUGUUCGGGUUGUCAUGCCAAUGGCACUGCCCGGUAGCUAAAUGCGGAAGAGAUAAGUGCUGAAAGCAUCUAAGCACGAAACUUGCCCCGAGAUGAGUUCUCCCUGAGACUUUAGGUCUCCUGAAGGAACGUUGAAGACGACGACGUUGAUAGGCCGGGUGUGUAAGCGCAGCGAUGCGUUGAGCUAACCGGUACUAAUGAACCGUGAGGCUUAACCUU